GUUUUAUUCAGUACAGAAUUAAGGAUAUGUUAACUAAAUUAGUUAGUUAAAUUUAAACCAGUGUAGCUGGAAAUAUUAUUGCAUUGGUGAAAUUUUACUGCUCUGCUCUUUUAGUCUAAUUUCUGUAAAAUUGGUUAUGAAUUUACCAAAAGUUGCUGUGAAGAAAAUAAAACCUAUUUAACUAAACACAUGAUAAAUGUUAUGAGAGCACAUAAAUUCUGAUAGAUCAGCCUAGUAAAUCUUCCUCCCUCUAUUUUUUUUUGUUUAUGUUGUAUUUAAUCUUAUCAUGCCUGAUGUAUAACAUAUGUUAUACCAAAUUUAAAAUUCUGGUGUCUUG